CCUACGUGUGGCAGCAGUGGGGAAUAUUGGGCAAUGGGCGCAAGCCUGACCCAGCAACGCCGCGUGAAGGAAGAAGGAUUUCGGGUUGUAAACUUCUUUUCUCAGGGACGAAGCAAGUGACGGUACCUGAGGAAUAAGCCACGGCCAACUACGUGCCAGCAGCCGCGGUAAUACGUAGGGGGCAAGCGUUAUCCGGUUUUACUGGUUGAAAAGGGGGGGUAGGCGGGAAAGCAAGUCAGAUUUGAAAAGCAUGGGCUCAACCUGUGGCCUGCAUUUGAAACUGUUGUUCUUGAGUACUGGAGAGGCAGACGGAAUUCCUAGUGUAGCUGUGAAAUGCGUAGAUAUUAGGAGGAACACCAGUGGCGAAGGCGGUCUGCUGGACAGCAACUGACGCUGAGGCGCGAAAGCGUGGGGAGCAAACAGGAUUAGAUACCCUUGUAGUC
rnacentral:rRNA from 1 species